UCAGACGAUGCGUCAUGCAUAUCAAUAAGCGGAGGAAAAGAAACUAACAAGGAUUCCCUUAGUAACGGCGAGUGAAGCGGGAAGAGCUCAAAUUUGAAAUCUUCAAGGUUUUACCUUGACGAAUUGUAGUUUAAAGAAGUGUUUUCUGCUGAAGUUUUGGUAAAAGUUCUUUGGAAUAGGACAUCAUAGAGGGUGAGAAUCCCGUAUUUGACCAUUAUUUUCAGCUUUGUGAUACACUUUCAAAGAGUCGGAUUGUUUGGGAAUGCAGUCCAAAAUGGGUGGUAAAUUUCAUCUAAAGCUAAAUAUUGGCGAGAGACCGAUAGCGAACAAGUACCGUGAGGGAAAGAUGAAAAGAACUUUGAAAAGAGAGUUAAACAGUACGUGAAAUUGUCAAAAGGGAAGGCGUUUGACACCAGUGUUGUUUUCUCGAAAAUCAAUUAAAAAUGGCUCGAUUUUGUAUUGUUGAGACCUUAAAAGCUCACUGUACAUUUUUCGUGUCUUUUUUAAUGCACUUUUCGUUUAACAAGUCAACAUCAGUUUCUUUUGUUGUAAAAGGGUCAUUGGAAGGUGGCUUUCUUUUCGGAGAAAGUGUUUAUAGCCUUUGGCCUCUGCAAUCGGAGAGACUGAGGUCUGCAGCGUAGACUCUUCGGGGUUAGAUACAUUUGUGCUAAGUUAUAGCUUUUUAUAGACAACUUGUUGACUAUAAUUAGUCUUGUAGCUUACUCGCUUAUGCUAUUUUACCUACGCUUAGGAUGUUGAACUACUGAGACAUAG
rnacentral:rRNA from 1 species